UACAUCCUACGGGGGGCAGCAGUGGGGGAUAUUGCACAAUGGGGGAAACCCUGAUGCAGCGACGCCGCGUAUAGGAAGAAGGUUUUCGGAUUGUAAACUAUUGUCGUUAGGGAAGAUAAAAGACUGUACCUAAGGAGGAAGCCCCGGCUAACUAUGUGCCAGCAGCCGCGGUAAUACAUAGGGGGCAAGCGUUAUCCGGAUUUACUGGGUGUAAAGGGCGUGUAGGCGGGAAAGCAAGUCAGAUGUGAAAACCAUGGGCUCAACCUGUGGCCUGCAUUUGAAACUGUUUUUCUUGAGUACUGGAG
rnacentral:rRNA from 1 species